rnacentral:rRNA from 1 species
AGGUGCUGCACGGCUGUCGUCAGCUCGUGUCGUGAGAUGUUGGGUUAAGUCCCGCAACGAGCGCAACCCUCGUGUUUAGUUACUAACAGUUCGGCUGAGGACUCUAGACAGACUGCCUGGGUAACCAGGAGGAAGGUGAGGACGACGUCAAGUCAUCAUGGCCCUUACGGCCAGGGCUACACACGUGCUACAAUGGGGUAUACAAAGAGCCGCAAUACCGCGAGGUGGAGCGAAUCUCAUAAAAUAUCUCCCAGUUCGGAUAGCAGUCUGCAACUCGACUGCUUGAAGUUGGAAUCGCUAGUAAUCGUAGAUCAGCAAUGCUACGGUGAAUACGUUCCCGGGUCUUGUACUCACCGCCCGUCACACCAUGGGAAUUGAAUUCAUUCGAAGCGGGGAUGCUAAAAUAGCUACCUUCCACAGUGGAUUUAGUAACUAGGGUGAAGUCGUAACAAGGUA